rnacentral:tRNA from 1 species
GUUCCGAUGGCUCAGUGGGUUAGAGCAUGGUGCUUGUGGGUUCAAUUCCCACCUGGGCCA